GACGAACGCUGGCGGCGUGCUUAACACAUGCAAGUCGUACGGUAAGGCCCUUCGGGGUACACGAGUGGCGAACGGGUGAGUAACACGUGGGUGAUCUGCCCUGCACUUCGGGAUAAGCCUGGGAAACUGGGUCUAAUACCGGAUAGGACUCCUGGCUUCAUGGUUGGGGGUGGAAAGCUUUUGCGGUGUGGGAUGGGCCCGCGGCCUAUCAGCUUGUUGGUGGGGUAAGGGCCUACCAAGGCGACGACGGGUAGCCGGCCUGGGAGGGUGACCGGUCACACUGGGACUGAGAUACGGCCCAGACGCCUACGGGAGGCAGCAGUGGGGAGUAUUGCACAGUGGGCGCAAGCCUGAUGCAGCGACGCCGCGUGAGGGAUGACGGCCUUCGGGUUGUAAACCUCUUUCAGCUAUGACGAAGCGCAAGUGACGGUAGUAGCAGAAGAAGGACCGGCCAACUACGUGCCAGCCGCCGCCGUAA
rnacentral:rRNA from 1 species